CAACAGAAAAAUCACAUAAUUUUUAAAUAUAUUGACUAGGAAAUAAAAAUGCUAACGAGAAUAUAUGAGCAGAAAACUUUAUUUGGAUAUUCACAUUGAACAAACACCUAGUGAUGCAAUCUAGGCCUUGAUAACAACUAGUUAUUAGUAUUAUUAUUAUGAUUAGGAUUUUUGAUCCACAGGUGGCCCUAACAGUGGAGGUGGUGGAGGAUCCUUUGAAGGACCUGAUGGAGGGAUAGGGACCCCUUUCGGAAGCCUGGGGAACACCUCAUUCCUGCGUAAAGCAGGUGGCCCUAACAGUGGAGGUGGUGGAGGAUCCUUUGAAGGACCUGGUGGAGGGAUAGGGACCCCUUUCGGAAGCCUGGGGAACACCUCAUUCCUGCGUAAAGCAGGUGGCCCUAACAGUGGAGGUGGUGGAGGAUCCUUUGAAGGACCUGAUGGAGGGAUAGGGACCCCUUUCGGAAGCCUGGGGAACACCUCAUUCCUGCGUAAAGCAGGUGGCCCUAACAGUGGAGGUGGUGGAGGAUCCUUUGAAGGACCUGAUGGAGGGAUAGGUGCUCCUUUUGGAAGCCUGGGGAACACCUCAUUCCGGGGUACAGAAAAUUGCUCAAAACUCAAUCCUUGUCUACUUGCAACCAUGGAGUUGAAGAGGGUAAAGACAAGAAAAGAGAGCAUUAGUAUGCGCCAUAAAAGAUAUCCAGUUUUUGAGGAAGAGAUUAGAAAGGCCAUUGAGAACCUUUAUUUUCUUCUUUUUGGGAUGAUUGAUUAGAGAGGUUAGCAUAUAUAUAUAUAUAUA
rnacentral:lncRNA from 1 species